rnacentral:rRNA from 1 species
AAUAGAUACCCGGGUAGUCCACGCCGUAAACGAUGGGUGCUAGCUGUUAUGCGUAUCGACCCGUGUAGUAGCGAAGCUAACGCGUUAAGCAUCCCGCCUGGGGAGUACGAACGCGAGUUUAAAACUCAAAGGAAUUGACGGGGACCCGCACAAGCGGUGGAGCGUGUUCUUUAAUUCGAGGCUAAGCGAAGAACCUUACCAGGGCUUGACAUCCUUGGAAUUUCUCCGAAAGGAGAGAGUACUUUAUUGGACCAAGUGACAGGUGCUGCAUGGCCGUCGUCAGCUCGUGUCGUGAGAUGUUUGGUUAAGUCCAUUAACGAGCGCAACCCUUAUGAAUAGUUGUAUUUUUCUAUUCAGACUGCCCCGGUAACGGGGAGGAAGGGGGGAUGAUGUCAGGUCAGUAUUGCCCUUACGCCCUGGGCUAGAAACGCGCUACAAUGGCUGGUACAAUGCGCUGCCAACCCGCGAGGGGAGCAAAUCGCAUCAAAGCCGGUCCCAGUUCGGAUAAGAGGCUGAAACUCGCCUCUUUGAAGCCGGAAUCGCUAGUAAUCGU